GAUCGUAAGCCUGGUCGAAAACGAGAAGUCAGCUGAGGUCAUAGUAGCGUUGAAGGUUUUGUAAUGAAGCUGGAGCGAAGGAC
rfam:Lactobacillus helveticus DPC 4571, complete genome.